rnacentral:rRNA from 1 species
CAGUCGCCGCGGGAAUACAGAGGGUGCUAGCGUUGUCCGGAAUCAUUGGGCGUAAAGCGCGCGUAGGUGGCCAUUUAAGUCCGCUGUGAAAGUCAAAGGCUCAACCUUUGAAAGCCGGUGGAUACUGGAUGGCUAGAGUACGGAAGAGGCGAGUGGAAUUCCUGGUGUAGCGGUGGAAUGCGCAGAUAUCAGGAGGAACACCAAUAGCGAAGGCAGCUCGCUGGGACGUUACUGACACUAAGGCGCGGAAGCGUGGGGAGCGAACAGGAUUAGAUACCCGAGUAGUCCCUGUCUCUUAUAC